GAGAGCUGGGAGGAGCCAUAGGUACUGAAGGAUGCUGAGAGAGCUGCGAGGAGCCAUAGAAACUGAAAUCCCAGAACUACAGUCCCAGCUACCUUGUACGGUGCCUAGGUCCUGGCCCUGCUCCCGAUUUGGAAUUUUAUUGUGAAAAAGAAGAAAGAAUCCUCCCUGGCGUGGCAGGCAUCAGCAGAAAGAUCUAACUACCCCCCUCUACCAUCAGAGAAUGUUCAGAAGCCACAGCUGGGCAGCAGGGUCCUGAGAGGACAAACACCACUGUACACAGUUGACACGUGGUUCUGGCUGCAUAGUGUCUGACCUAGUCUGGGACCCUCUGGAGAUCUGGGAGUCACCCAGAUCUCACAAAAAACAAAAUAAAACAAAACAAAACAAAAACCCUCCCUACUCCUUCCAUUAGCCUAAUUAUGUUGCUGCUUCCUUGGAACAAAGAGCCCGUUGGCUGUGAAGUCAGAAGAAGGAGGAAAAAGAAAAAACAAAGCAAAACAAAACACUUGUCCUUCAUGGGACCAGCCAGUCUGAAGAGCAUGCUCAGAUCUA
rnacentral:lncRNA from 1 species